GCCACGGUGUGUGAUGGAAGGAGCUCUCUGAUUGGUUACAGAGACUCAGGCUGACUACCUGGGUUUUGUUAAGGUGCUUUUUUUGUACCGAUAACUUUGUAUUGCUAAACAUAUAUAAAGGGCAUUCAGUCUCGGCUUUUACUCUGAACAACAUGGCGAUAAGAAGUAUAUGACGGGACUGCAGAGAAAUGGAGAGCCGAAGCUCCGAGUGUUGAAGAAGGUUUGCUUGUUCUUGACAACUUGGACUCCUCUGGGUGAUAAGGACACACCUGCAUCUGUUCCAUAUCAUGUUCAUGGAGGAUGUUAUGGCUUUGACAGCACUUGGUGUUAGCUUUUUGGCAUUUGGCACCCACACUGGAAAACCUGCAACCUGGACUUCAUGCAGGAGAGACCGCCUCAGUCAUGUUCGACUCUGCGUCCUCUGCUUUACCUCCUAAUGUCUUUCUGCUUUAACGCACAAUUAAAAAUCAUUCAAAAAUGA